rnacentral:rRNA from 1 species
AUUGAACGCUGGCGGCAGGCCUAACACAUGCAAGUCGAGCGGAUGAAGGGAGCUUGCUCCUGGAUUCAGCGGCGGACGGGUGAGUAAUGCCUAGGAAUCUGCCUGGUAGUGGGGGAUAACGUCCGGAAACGGGCGCUAAUACCGCAUACGUCAUGAGGGAGAAAGUGGGGGAUCUUCGGACCUCACGCUAUCAGAUGAGCCUAGGUCGGAUUAGCUAGUUGGUGGGGUAAAGGCCUACCAAGGCGACGAUCCGUAACUGGUCUGAGAGGAUGAUCAGUCACACUGGAACUGAGACACGGUCCAGACUCCUACGGGAGGCAGCAGUAGGGAAUAUUGGACAAUGGGCGAAAGCCUGAUCCAGCCAUGCCGCGUGUGUGAAGAAGGUCUUCGGAUUGUAAAGCACUGUAAGUUGGGAGGAAGGGCAGUAAGUUAAUACCUUGCUGUUUUGACGUUACCAACAGAAUAAGCACCGGCUAACUUCGUG